CUUGCUGACAAUGCAGGUUCUGAUUCAGCAGCUGUGCAGUGCGGAGCUGAGAUUCCGAAUUUCGAAUGAGGCCUCAGGUGGUACCAGUGCUGCUGGUCCAUGAACCACACCUGGCAUCAAAGGGCCUAGGAACUGCUCCUUGGCCUUCUUGUAGAGAACCUGUGUGGAGAUGUUGCAGGAUGUCACCUCUGCUUUACUGCUAGCCAAAUAGCACCACAGGGCUGUCCUUGGCUUUGUUCAGCCCCACAGCGGACUUGACCUAGGGUUUUCUGACCACCAUCAGAUGAGCCUUGGCUUGAGGGAAUUUCCCAGCAGCUCAGGACCAGGUCUGGCAGUUUACAAUUAUUAGAGAAGUUCCGUGUAAGAAGGGUGGACGGCCUCCAAAACAACAGCUAAGCUGCCAGGCCAUUCGGACCUGCGAAAAUGAGCACUUGGUCAGGACUGAAUGAAUCUUGCGUUCUGGUCGCCUGCGCAUGAGGAGUCUGCACCUUUGAACUCUGCCCAGCACAUCCAUUUGGCCAGCCUGAUGUGGCCAUCAUCUCCAGGAUGCUCAGAUAGAGUGGCAGAUUUGGUCCUUGUUUUCCAUGGAUAGAUUUGCUCAAAGAAACAAACCUAGGAAAAUCUGAACAAGCACCUUCUGAAAAUGAACUAACACUGGCCUCCUCCAACUUGUGCACCUGGCUGGGGAUCUUCCUGCGGCUGUCCCUGAGGGCUGGCCAUUAUCUUGCUGCCCCCCCACCCCAGGCAGAAGUAAGGCAGUGUGUAGCCAUCCUGCUACAAACAAGCCGCAUGCAUUCACCAUCGCUGGAGAAACAAAUUGUCAGCAAAUGGCCUAUUCAGAAUGAGUUUGCAACUCAUCAUCUGUCUCAGAAACCAGGAAAUCUCUGAGGUGGCCCAGCACAAAAGGAUGCAAAUGAUGAAGGGUCAACAGCAGAUGCUGAAUAAUGGAGUGAGAACAAAUAGCAUUCAGGGGCUUCGUGUUUUUUGUGUCUCCCACAAAUGGUGCCUCAUUCUUCCCACAUCAUUUUCAUUUUCAACCGUUCCAUUUUCACGUCCAAGAGAAGUGCGAGGGGCAUCUGGAGUGAUUUCCGCUCGAGGUUGGCUGCCCUUGGAUGGCAGUGAGCCUCUGCUCCUUUGCAGAAUAGUGACGUGUCUGCAAAGCGUUGUGAUAGCCAGCCCAUCCUGCCGCAUGUUGCAGAGAUGGAUAUAUUGUCCUGCUGAGUGGAUGUGAUUGCACUGACUUAAAGUUUGCAGAACAAUUUAAAAUCCUAAAUGAAGAAAAGGGGGACUUACCAGAGUUGUCACUGACCUUGAGCUUGAAGACACACAACUGGAUCUAUGAUUUUUAUUAAAGGAAGACCAUUUUCUGGUGUCAGAAACCAAGGAGAAAACAUGAUACACAUACACACCCACACCCCUCGCCCCUCUGCAUGUGAGGGGGAAGUGAAGUACCGGCGGGGGGCCUGCCUUGGCUGGGACACGAGAGAGGAGGGAAACUUGAGCAUUGACACAAAACUGCAGAUAUAAUAACAUUGAGGUUAACCUGCCCCUAUGUUGACUGAAUUUUUCUUCUUUUACAUGACAUAAUAAUGACAAAAAUAACAACAUUUAAUGAAGACUGUUCCAAGGACUAUUCUAAGAGCUUCAUAGAAUGAUCUUAUUUGAUCCUCCUAAUUACU
ensembl:lncRNA